CGCCUGUUUAUCAAAAACAUCGCCUCUUGCAACUUUAUAUAUAAGAGGUCCCGCCUGCCCUGUGAUCAUGUAUUUAACGGCCGCGGUAUUUUGACCGUGCAAAGGUAGCGCAAUCACUUGUCUUUUAAAUGGAGACCUGUAUGAAUGGCAUAACGAGGGUCUAGCUGUCUCCCUUUUCUAGUCAAUGAAAUUGAUUUCUCCGUGCAGAAGCGGGGAUAAAAUCAUAAGACGAGAAGACCCUGUGGAGCUUUAGACCCCGAGACAGAUCGUGUCAAGAACACCCCUUCAAGGGCUAGAACUAAUUGAAGCCUGUCUCACUGUCUUUGGUUGGGGCGACUGCGGAGUAAUAAAUAACCCCCGCGCAGAAUGAAGGGACUACCUCUUUAAAGUAAAGAUCCACACCUCUAAGUAGCAGAAUAUCUGACCGAAUAUGAUCCGGUACAACCGAUCAGCGAACCGAGUUACCCCAGGGAUAACAGCGCAAUCCUCUUCAAGAGCCCCUAUCGACAAGAGGGUUUACGACCUCGAUGUUGGAUCAGGACACCCUAAUGGGGCAGCCGCUAUUAAGGGUUCGUUUGUUCAACGAUUAAAGUCCUACGUGAUCUGAGUUC
rnacentral:rRNA from 1 species